GAUGAACGCUGGCGGCGUGCCUAAUACAUGCAAGUCGAGCGAACAGACGAGGAGCUUGCUCCUCUGACGUUAGCGGCGGACGGGUGAGUAACACGUGGAUAACCUACCUAUAAGACUGGGAUAACUUCGGGAAACCGGAGCUAAUACCGGAGAAUAUAUUGAACCGCAUGGUUCAAUAGUGAAAGACGGUUUUGCUGUCACUUAUAGAUGGAUCCGCGCCGCAUUAGCUAGUUGGUAAGGUAACGGCUUACCAAGGCAACGAUGCGUAGCCGACCUGAGAGGUUGAUCGGCCACACUGGAACUGAGACACGGUCCAGACUCCUACGGGAGGCAGCAGUAGGGAAUCUUCCGCAAUGGGCGAAAGCCUGACGGAGCAACGCCGCGUGAGUGAUGAAGGUCUUCGGAUCGUAAAGCUCUGUUAUUAGGGAAGAACAAAUGUGUGAGUAACUAUGCACGUCUUGACGGUACCUAAUCAGAAAGCCACGGCUAACUACGUG
rnacentral:rRNA from 1 species